AAAAUCUCCGUCUCGUUAGCACAUGAUGUAAGCCAGCCGGACUUCUCGUCAUGAACGAGGGGAAAAAAUAUAUUUCCGUUCGUUCAAACAUGUCAAACGUUGUAUAGCAUAAAUCAUUAGGGCCUUUUUUAACCAGAACAUGAAUAGUAUUCAAGGUGGACGAAUGCAUACUCUUUUAUAACGUAUUGGAACGAGGGUACCCAACAUGAACUCGCGCGCCAGGUGUCUAAUGGGACAUCAUCGUUCCAUGGCUCUUGUUCGGUCAGAUCUCCCUCCAGAAGACUCAAAACACUUUGUAAAGGCUGGUGACAUCUAGU
rnacentral:lncRNA from 1 species